AAUCCCAUGAGAAAAUCCCGCGAGAAAGGGCUGUCGGCACGUGCGCUUGCGACAGACGCAAGACGUGCACACAAUACGCACGUCCCAUCCACACGCGGCGCGGAGGUCAGACCUGCGUGCAUGUCUUGUCGCGCACAGGCAGGCCUGUCUGCGCGUGUCACAUCAUGCUCGGACAUGGUAAGCGUCGCACACUGUGCGCAUAUCAUCCGCGCAACAGACUU
rnacentral:lncRNA from 1 species